UACAGGGGGUGCAAACGUUGCUCGGAAUCAUUGGGCGUAAAGCGCACGUAGGCGGUUCGUUGUGUCGGAUGUGAAAGCCCUUGGCUUAACCGAGGAAGUGCAUCCGAAACUGGCGAGCUAGAGUACUAAAGAGGAUCGCGGAAUUCCCGGUGUAGAGGUGAAAUUCGUAGAUAUCGGGAGGAACACCGGUGGCGAAGGCGGCGAUCUGGGUAGAUACUGACGCUGAGGUGCGAAAGCGUGGGGAGCAAACAGG
rnacentral:rRNA from 1 species